UCGAGAAUCUUCGGCAAUGGGCGAAAGCCUGACCGAGCGAUGCCGCGUGCGGGAUGAAGGCCUUCGGGUUGUAAACCGCUGUCGUAGGGGAGAAAGGGUCGUUGAAGAAACGACUUUGAUCUAUCCUAGGAGGAAGUCCGGGCUAAGUUCGUGCCAGCAGCCGCGGUAACACGAACCGGACAAACGUUAUUCGGAAUUACUGGGCUUAAAGGGUGCGUAGGCGGUGCGGUAAGUGCGGUGUGAAAUCCCACGGCUCAACCGUGGAAUUGCGCUGCAUACUGCCGUGCUAGAGGGAGACAGAGGUAAGCGGAACUGAUGGUGGAGCGGUGAAAUGCGUUGAUAUCAUCAGGAACACCGGUGGCGAAAGCGGCUUACUGGGUCUCUUCUGACGCUGAGGUACGAAAGCUAGGGGAGCGAACGGGAUUAGAUACCCACGUAGUCCCUGAGCGGGCUGGCAAGGCGCAU
rnacentral:rRNA from 1 species